rnacentral:piRNA from 1 species
UCUUGUUUUUUUUUAUUCUUG